rnacentral:misc_RNA from 1 species
GCCAUACCCCCUCUUAGCCCUCCCCGUAAUAUCCUGCCACGUAGCGUUGAACCUCCGUCCCGUGCUAGCCAGCAAGCCCUCCUCCUCUUCCUCCUCCAGAUCGCGGUCGAUCUGCUCCUGAUCCAGCUGCGGCGUCCUAAAGAGCGUGGUCAAGAACACGAUGAGGUAAACCGCGAGGAACGCGAACUGGGCCCAGAACAG